AUGCCUGUACCAUAACCGACACAGGUGGGUAAGUAGAGUAUACUAAGGGGCGCGAGAUAACUCUCUCUAAGGAACUCGGCAAAAUAACUCCGUAACUUCGGGAGAAGGAGUGCCUUAUUCUUAAGGUUGCAAUAACAAGAUCCAAGCAACUGUUUAUCAAAAACACAGGUCUCCGCUAAGUCGUAAGACGAUGUAUGGGGGCUGACGCCUGCCCAGUGCCAGAAGGUUAAAGAAGUCGGUUAGCAAUAGCAAAGCUGGUAACUGAAGCCCUGGUGAACGGCGGCCGUAACAAUAACGGUCCUAAGGUAGCGAAAUUCCUUGUCGGGUAAGUUCCGACCCGCACGAAAGGCGUAAUGAUUUGGAUGCUGUCUCGGAGAGGGGCUCGGUGAAAUAGACUUGUCUGUGAAGAUGCGGACUACCUGCACCAGGACAGAAAGACCCUAUGAAGCUUUACUGUAACUUGAAAUUGAUAUUGGACUUUAUUCGCGCAGUAUAGGUGGGAGGCGUUGAUUAUAAUCUUGUGGGAUUAUUGGAGCCAUCAGUGAGAUACCACUCUUGUAAUGUUAGAUUUCUAACUUUGAAUCAUUAUCUGGUCAAAGGACAGUUUCAGGCGGGCAGUUUGACUGGGGCGGUCGCCUCCUAAACGGUAACGGAGGCGUACAAAGGUUUCCUCUGAACGGUUAGAAAUCGUAUCUAGAGUGUAAAGGCAUAAGGAAGCUUGACUGUGAGACCUACAAGUCGAGCAGGGACGAAAGUCGGUCUUAGUGAUCUGACGGUACUGAGUGGAAAGGCCGUCACUCAACGGAUAAAAGUUACUCUAGGAUAACAGGCUGAUCUCCCCCAAGAGUUCACAUCGACGGGGAGGUUUGGCACCUCGAUGUCGGCUCAUCGCAUCCUGGGGCGGUAGUACGUCCCAAGGGUUGGGCUGUUCGCCCAUGAAAGCGGUACGCGAGCUGGGUUCAAACGUCGUGAGACAGUUCGGUCCAUAUCCGGUGUAGGCGCUAGAAUAUUGAGAGGAGCCUUCUUUAGUACGAGAGGACCGAGAAGGACAUACCUCUGGUGUACCAGUUAUCGUGCCAACGGUAAACGCUGGGUAGCUAUGUAUGGAGUGGAUAACCGCUGAAAGCAUCUAAGUGGGAAGCCCACCUCAAGAUAAGUAUUCUCAUCACGUAAGUGAGUAAGGUCACGGUAAGACUAACCGUUUGAUAGGCAUUAAGUGUAAGUACAGUAAUGUAUGUGCUGAGAUGUCCUAAUAGACCGAGGAC
rnacentral:rRNA from 1 species